GGGAUGACGUCAAAUCAUCAUGCCCCUUAUGAUUUGGGCUACACACGUGCUACAAUGGACAAUACAAAGGGCAGCGAAACCGCGAGGUCAAGCAAAUCCCAUAAAGUUGUUCUCAGUUCGGAUUGUAGUCUGCAACUCGACUACAUGAAGCUGGAAUCGCUAGUAAUCGUAGAUCAGCAUGCUACGGUGAAUACGUUCCCGGGUCUUGUACACACCGCCCGUCACACCACGAGAGU
rnacentral:rRNA from 1 species